rnacentral:rRNA from 1 species
ACGGGCCCGCACAAGCAGCGGAGCGUGUGGUUAAUUCGAUGCUACACGAAGAACCUUACCAGGGUUUGACAUGCAAGUGGUAGGAAACCGAAAGGUGACCGACCCUUCGGGGAGCUUGCACAGGUGCUGCAUGGCUGUCGUCAGCUCGUGUCGUGAGAUGUUCGGUUAAGUCCGCUAACGAGCGCAACCCUCGCUGUGUGUUAUAUGUGUCACACGGGACUGCCGGUCUUAAGCCGGAGGAAGGUGGGGAUGAUGUCAAGUCAGCAUGGCCUUUAUAUCCUGGGCUACACACACGCUACAAUGGCCAGCACAGUAGGUUGCUAAGCCGCGAGGUGGAGCCAAUCCAUAAAGCUGGUCUCAGUUCAGAUUGCAGGCUGCAACCCGCCUGCAUGAAGAUGGAGUUGCUAGUAACCGCAGGUCAGCUAUACUGCGGUGAAUACGUUCCCGGGGCUU